rnacentral:rRNA from 1 species
UACGUAGGGUGCAAGCGUUGUCCGGAAUUAUUGGGCGUAAAGAGCUCGUAGGCGGUCUGUCGCGUCGGCUGUGAAAACCUGGGGCUUAACCCCGGGCCUGCAGCCGAUACGGGCAGACUAGAGUUCGGCAGGGGAGACUGGAAUUCCUGGUGUAGCGGUGAAAUGCGCAGAUAUCAGGAGGAACACCGGUGGCGAAGGCGGGUCUCUGGACAGUUCCUGACACUGAGGCACGAAGGCCAGGGGAGCAAACGGG